rnacentral:rRNA from 1 species
UAGGGAAUCUUCCGCAAUGGGCGAAAGCCUGACGGAGCAACGCCGCGUGAGUGAUGAAGGUCUUCGGAUCGUAAAACUCUGUUACUAGGGAAGAACAAAUGUGUAAGUAACUAUGCACGUCUCGACGGUACCUAAUCAGAAAGCCACGGCUAACUACGUGCCAGCAGCCGCGGUAAUACGUAGGUGGCAAGCGUUAUCCGGAAUUAUUGGGCGUAAAGCGCGCGAAGGCGGUUUUUUAUGUCUGAGGUGAAAGCCCACGGCCCAACCGUGGAGGGUCAUUGGAAACUGGGAAACUUGAGUGCAGAAGAGGACAGUGGAAUUCGACGUGUAGCGGUGAAAUGCGCAGAGCUAUAGAGGAACACCAGUGGCGAAGGCGACUGUCUGGUCUGUAACUGACGCUGAUGUGCGAAAGCGUGGGGAUCAAACAGG